GUAGUUUGAUCCUGGCUCAGAUUGAACGCUGGCGGCAGGCCUAACACAUGCAAGUCGAGCGGAUGACGGGAGCUUGCUUCCUUUGAUUCUAGCGGCGGACGGGUGAGUAAUGCCUAGGAAUCUGCCUGGUAGUUGGGGGGACAACGUUUCGAAAGGGAACGCUAAUACCGCAUACGUCCUACGGGAGAAAGCGAGGGGACCUUCGGGCCUUGCGCUAUCAGAUGAGCCUAGGUCGG
rnacentral:rRNA from 1 species